GUGGUAACACACACUGGAGGACCGAACCGACUAGUGUUGCAAAAUUAGCGGAUGAGCUGUGGAUAGGGGUGAAAGGCUAAACAAAUCUGGAGAUAGCUGGUUCUCCCCGAAAACUAUUGAGGUAGUGCCUCGUGUAUGACUCCAGGGGGUAGAGCACUGUUAUGGCUAGGGGGACAUGGCGUCUUACCAAACCAUGGCAAACUCCGAAUACUUGGAAGUUUGAGCACGGGAGACAGAGCACCGGGUGCUAACGUCCGGACUCAAGAGGGAAACAACCCAGACCGCCGGCUAAGGUCCCUAAUAUUGACUAAGUGGAAAACGAAGUGGAAAGGCUAAGACAGUCAGGAAGUUGGCUUAGAAGCAGCCAUCCUUCAAAGAAAGCGUAAUAGCUCACUGAUCGAGUCUUUCUGCGCGGAAGAUGUAACGGGGCUAAGUCAAUAACCGAAGCCGCGGAUUCACACUUAUGUGUGAGUGGUAGGGGAGCGUUCUGUAAGCCUGCGAAGGUGACUCGUAAGGGUUGCUGGAGGUAUCAGAAGUGCGAAUGCUGACAUGAGUAACGUUAAAGCGGGUGAAAAGCCCGCUCGCCGUAAGCCCAAGGUUUCCUGCUCUACGUUCAUCGGAGCAGGGUGAGUCGGCCCCUAAGGUGAGGCUGAGAAGCGUAACUGAUGGGAACAAGGUUAAUAUUCCUUGACCACCGCUGAAUGCGAAGGGGGGACGGAGUAUUGAAGAUCAUCCGGGUGUUGGAUAUCCCGGUUUGCGAGCGUAGGAGGCUGACAGGCAAAUCCGUCAGCGAAUCUCCGAGGCAAAGCAUCGAGCUCUCUUUUGAGCGAAGUGAUUGGAUGUGCUUCCAGGAAAAGCCUCUAAGCUCCAGUUCAGCGGGACCGUACCGCAAACCGACACUGGUGGGCGAGCUGAAUAUGCUCAGGCGCUUGAGAGAACUCAGGAGAAGGAACUCGGCAAAUUGACACCGUAACUUCGGGAUAAGGUGUGCCUUUGUAGCGUGGAGGGAGAAACACCCCGAGCGCGAAGAGGUCUCAGAUAAUCGGUGGCUGCGACUGUUUAUUAAAAACACAGCACUCUGCAAAGACGAAAGUCGACGUAUAGGGUGUGAUGCCUGCCCGGUGCUGGAAGAUUAAUUGAUGGGGUGCAAGCUCCUGAUCGAAGUCCCAGUAAACGGCGGCCGUAACUAUAACGGUCCUAAGGUAGCGAAAUUCCUUGUCGGGCAAGUUCCGACCUGCACGAAUGGCAUAACGAUGGCCACACUGUCUCCUCCUGAGACUCAGUGAAGUUGAAGUGUUUGUGAUGAUGCAAUCUCCCCGCGGCUAGACGGAAAGACCCCAUGAACCUUUACUGUAGCUUUGCAUUGGACUUUGAACCGAUCUGUGUAGGAUAGGCGGGAGCCUGUGAAACCACAACGCCAGUUGUGGCGGAGGCGUCCUUGAAAUACCGCCCUGAUUUGUUUGAGGUUCUAACCUGGGACAGUCAUCCUGUCCGGGGACCGUGCAUGGUAGGCAGUUUGACUGGGGCGGUCUCCUCCUAAAGGGUAACGGAGGAGUGCGAAGGUACGCUAGGUACGGUCGGAAAUCGUGCUGAUAGUGCAAUGGCAAAAGCGUGCUUGACUGCGAGACCCACAAGUCGAGCAGAUACGAAAGUAGGUCAUAGUGAUCCGGUGGCUCUGUAUGGAAGGGCCAUCGCUCAACGGAUAAAAGGUACUCUGGGGAUAACAGGCUGAUACCGCCCAAGAGUUCAUAUCGACGGCGGUGUUUGGCACCUCGAUGUCGGCUCAUCUCAUCCUGGGGCUGUAGCCGGUCCCAAGGGUAUGGCUGUUCGCCAUUUAAAGAGGUACGUGAGCUGGGUUUAAAACGUCGUGAGACAGUUUGGUCCCUAUCUGCCGUGGGCGUUGGAAGAUUGACGGGGGCUGCUCCUAGUACGAGAGGACCGGAGUGGACGCACCUCUGGUGUACCGGUUGUCACGCCAGUGGCAUUGCCGGGUAGCUAAGUGCGGAAGAGAUAACCGCUGAAAGCAUCUAAGCGGGAAACUUGCCUGAAGAUGAGUCUUCCCGGAGGUUGAACCUCCCUCAAGAGUCGUCCGAGACCAGGACGUCGAUAGGUCAGGUGUGUAAGCGCUGUAAGGCGUUGAGCUAACUGAUACUAAUUGCUCGUGAGGCUUGAUCCU
rnacentral:rRNA from 1 species